rnacentral:rRNA from 1 species
AUUGAACUCUGGCGGCAGGCCAAACACAUGGAAGUCGAGCGGAGCGGCGGACGGGUGAGUAAUGCCUAGGAAGCUAACUUGUAGUGGGGGAUAACGUCCGGAAACGGACGCUAAUACCGUAUACUAUCAGAUGAGACUAGUUUGGAUUAGCUAGUUGGUGGGGUAAGGGCCUACCAAGGCGACGAACCGUAACUGGUCUGAGAUGUUGAUCAGCCACACUGGAACUGAGACACGGUCCAGAAUCCUACGGGAGGCAGCAGUGGGGAAUAUUUGCAAAUUGGCGAAAGCCUGAUCCAGCCAUGCCGCGUGUGUGAAGAAGGUCUUCGGAUUGUAAAGCACUUUUAGUUGGGAUGCGUUACCAACAGAAUAAGCACCGGCUAACUUCGUGCCAGCAGCCGCGGUAAUAC